UGUCCUUUGCAGGAGGCUUCCUUUUUAAGCAAUGGAAAGAGAAGUUCCUCACCCUCUCACCAGACGGGAGCUUGCUCGUCUGCCCAAAUGCAGGAAGCCCUGCUGAGCUGGGCAUCUCCCUGGGCACCAGCUGCGAUGCCAUCCUGGAGGGGAGCGAGAUCUGCGACCUGCCACGCCUUCCCCUGGGCGCCCAGCGGGACAGCUGCCUCGGACUGAGCCUCAACGAUGGGCGGUUCCUGCUUUUUCUUGCGCCCAACAACCAAGAGUGCAGGCAGUGGCUGAACAUCUUAAGAAAAGUCAAAGAGAGCUUCUCCCAGGGGUCUCCCUCCAGUUGCAAGGCCCACAUCAACUCG